AAAUCUUCACUGAUUUUAGUAAGUUAACAUUUUAAAAUAGUGAACUUUUUUUUUAAUGCCUCCUAACUGUGUGUGGCAAGAGAAUACAGUGAUGACGGCUUCACUGGGAAGGCGGUGGGGGUCUGGUUCCUCGUCGGCAGGAUGCCUUCCCUGCCUGGGCUCAGCGGGGAGAGAGGCUGUGUCUGUUGUUUGGUCAGGAAAACACAUUUGGACAGGCAGCCUCAAGCCAGAGUGUCUGCCGUUAUUUUCAUUAAAUUCUUCCCAAUCCAGCGUGUAUUAAUGUGUUAUUUAUCUAUUAUUAUUAUUUUUUUUGGUUAUUCAUGCCAAGAACAAGGCCAAAUUUUCCCUCAGUUAUUUGAAAUAAUUUAAAAAAAUAAGUAGGGCAUUUCUAUGCCAUGAUGUUAUCUCAGGAUUUCGGGGGAUGGGCCGUGGGAUCAGUUAGUUGACUAGCUGCUUGACCCUGGGAGGUCACUUAACCUCUCUGUGACUUAGCUGCCCGAUCUGUAAAAUGAGAGCAAUAAUGCUGUUUACCUCAUGGGGUGGUGGUGAGGGACAAAUUAAUUAAUACAUGUAGAGCACCCAGGCCUGGGCACCGUGUGUUUGCUGUCACUGUUGGGAAUGUCGUCCACCACUGCCGUCUCACUGAAGCAGUGAGCGCGCCACUCUCCGCCUCCUCCUCUGUCUCCUCCUCUCCCCUCCUUCCUGCUUUUCUUUUCCUUCUGCCAUAGUAGCUUUCCUCUUAAAAUCACAGCAUGGAAGUGGUUUACUUUUUUCAUUAUUUAUGAAAUUUAUUUGAAUUUGUCUGUAUUCAUUCAGAUAGAAUAAUCCAUGGAUUUGCAGUAGUUUAAAAACAGAAGGGUGCUCCCAAUUUUAAUAAAUCUCUAUCUGUGUAUCCAAAUAUAUAUGAAUGUAUGUGUGUAAAUAAUAAUAAAUAUUAUUAUUGUAAAAGAGUAAGAAAACCAUUUAGAUUUUAAAUUACCUUGCAGUCAGCUUGCCACGUGUGGUUUGUUGCUUGGGUGGAAUGACAGAGUAGAGAGAGGAAAACAUUCCCAGCUUGCCAAAGAAUAAUGAUUUAGAAGUCUAGUUUAACCAGAAAAUGAAUUUAGUAACUUCAUUUGUACCCUGGAUGUCUUCCUCUGUGACGAAAACUAGGCACACUGUCUAGUAUCUGCCUGGCAGAGGACUGAGCCCCAGGGAACGAGGGGCUCUCUGGAGUGAGACAGACCAGAGGCGGACACUGAGAGGCUAGUCAGCCUAGUCCUGACCCGAGCCCCCAGCACUGAGUAACCUCAGAGCAGGCGGCGCAUGCCAGGUGCGCCGAGGCUGGAGCUACCACACUUUUGGAGAAAGGAUAUGUAGAUUUGAGCUGUUUUCUGUUGGGUCAAACAGCUCAGAACUCAACUGUAAGCUGAUACAAUAUGUAAAUGAAUUAAAUUGUUUUUAUUUUAUUAUAGAAAUUAAGAAGCCAACAGUAGCUCUUUAAACCAGAGCCUUCCAAGCUGUUUUCCUUUUGCCUCAUAAAGGCUGUCCUUGAGCUGCUACGAGGGCCUCUCUUCCUGUGGCACAGGGCCCACUGGUGGGGGCAGUGUCUGCUGACUUGCCUUCUCCUUGUUGUCACUGUAACUUUAUUGCCAAGACCCUGGACCGUACUUGGUCCUGUAGGUGGGUAUGCUUUGGAGUCAGGAUGCCCUGGAAGGCAGACACCUGGACUGAGUCAGGAGACUGGUAUUUGCAGCAACAGUUGGCCAGGUUUGGGAAGGUAGGGCCAGGAAGAACCAGCCGUGGAGAACAGAUGCAUACCCUGAGGACAGGUAGAUGAUCCAGGAAAAAUUGGUGACAGGCCCCUUGAGACGGGUGGUUCACAGGAGACCGAUAUCCACCCCAGCUGGACGGGGGUGUCUCUGCAAGCAGAUGGGUGGGCACAAAGCAGGGAUCUUGUCUGUGGUUUUGGAGUCCAGGGGCAGAGUCCUAGGCCUGGAAUUGAGUGAGAACGUAAGGACUCCCCUAGAGAAUGAGGUGGAAGACGCCGCUUCAGGAAUGUGGGUAAAAGGUGGGCUUAGCUCAGAGGGGUGGUGUUGGUACAGAUAGCAUCCUGCAGUGUGAGGUGAUACGGUAUUGGGGGCUUGUUGGGUCAGAGUAGCUUAAGGUUUCUUAAAUUCUGGAACUGGUUCUGUUUCAAAUAUAGUAGUAGCCUCUUACUUUCUUAAAAAUUUGAAUAAAUAUAGGGCUGCCCUGAUACGUUUUUGUAUGGAAGAAUAUGAGGUCUGAGAGGGGCAUAGGCGUUUAGAUUUAUUUCAGAUCUACAUUUCUUGUGACUACCUUGGGCUUGUCUGCAGACUGCAGAGUCUUCCUGCAGCCUGUCCUAGAGAGCUGAGGGGCACAGUUAGAACUCUCUAGGGAGGGGCCAGAUAGACGGCCGGCAUCUGACAGACUACAGCCAGAUAAUUCUGAAAUGAAAAUCAAGAAGUUAAUAUACUUACUCUAAGCAGGGUGUGAUCACACACUAUCAGCCACUGUUCAGUGUGACCACUUAAGGAAUACUGCUUCUUAGCUUCAAACUUACAUUUUUGAACAGGUUUAUUCUAUUAAAGGGGACCUGUGCAAAAUAUAAGAAAGCUUGCAUGUAACAAGUAUAGUAGUUAUUCUGCGUACAGUGGCCACUAGUAAAAUUCUAUAUGUACUUUAUUGAUUAUUAGAAGUAUAUGACUAUUCCCCUGGUCAGAGAAGACAGUUGAAAUUCAAAGAUGUUUAUUUAAAACAGAGGCUAAAGAGCUUCAUUUUCCCUUUUUUUUUUAAUUUUUUUUUUUGGUUGAGACAGAGUCUCACCAAAUCUCUGGGUGACGACCCUGCAGGGGUCAUAGCUCACUACAGCCUCCAGCUCCUGGGCUCAAGUGAUCCUCCCGCCUUGGCCUCCCAGAGUGCUAGGAUUACAGGGGUGAGCCACUGAGCCUGGCUGAGAGCCUCAUUUUCAAAAGUUGUUUUCAUCGGCUACCAAAUAAUAUUCUUGUCACUUGGGUGACUCCAGAUUGGGGGAUAAAAUCAAAAUUUAAAUAAUAAUGAAUUUUGUUAUCCAGUACUCUUUUGUGGGCAUUUAUAAAUAUUUAUGUUUAACUUAGUUUUUUAAUUAGAGAAGCAGAGAUUUAUGUAUGCCAGUUAUACAUGAUUUUUCUUUUCAGUAUUCUCAUAUUUAAAUCCAUUAAGCUAUUUCUAUUUAUUUUAUAUAAACAUCGAGCUCUUACACCAUCAUGUAAAAUCAGGAACAUUGGAAAUUUCAGGUGAAUUUGAUUAGUAAAUACACCCUUAAAGGUAGUGAUCUAAGAACCAAAGGAAUCAGACAUGUAUGGUGUUCAGGUUUUGCUUUGGCAAUAACCCCCUUGUGCUUUUUAAAAAUAUUUAUCUUGUAGUAUAAAGCUUUUGUAAGAAAAUAUGGAGAUAUUCUUUGCCCCAUUUUCUGACAGCUAUGAUGACGUUGUUAUUUGGCCAGUAAGCCCCAGCCUGAACCAUGUUUCAAAACCACUUUUGCCCUUCUGGUAUCCUUGCUGGUGUUCACAAGGUAUCGAAUGGGUUUGCAAUGCUGCUGCCUCUUCUCUUCUCUUCUCUUCUCUUCUCUUCUCUUCUCUUCUCUUCUCUUCUCUUCUCUUCUCUUCUCUUCUCUUCUCUUCUUUUUCUUUUUUUUAAAAUCUGUGGAUUUUGUCCUAGUAAGUUUUAUAUGAUGUAAUUUACUAACGUCUGCAUAUGAUUACAUGGCUUUUUCCCCCCAAUCUGUUACAUAGGCAAUCAUGGCCAACCAAAAUUGACGUACCCCAGGACCUUGAGGAUGACCUCACGGCCACUCCUUUGUCCCACGCGACUGUCCCUCAGUCUCCUGCUCGGGCUGCCGACAAUGUCCUCAAUGGCCACAGGAGCAAAGGCCUGUGUGACUCAGCUAAGAAAGAUGACCUUCCUGAGUUGGCUGGGCCAGCACUCACCACGGUGCCGCCUACAAGCUUAAAACCCACGGCCAGUGGGCGGAAGUGUUUGUUCAGGGUGGAAGAAGAUGAAGAGGAAGAUGAGGAGGACAAGAAACCCAUGUCCCUCUCAACUCAAGUGGUUUUGCGCCGGAAGCCAUCUGUGACCAACCGCCUGACAUCUAGGAAGAGCGCUCCUGUGCUCAACCAGAUCUUUGAGGAAGGGGAAUCUGACGACGAGUUUGACAUGGAUGAGAAUCUGCCUCCCAAAUUGAGCAGGUUAAAGAUGAAUAUCGCUUCCCCAGGCACAGUUCACAAACGCUACCACCGGAGGAAAAGUCAGGGCCGGGGCUCCAGCUGCAGUAGUUCAGAGACCAGUGAUGAUGAUUCCGAAAGCCGGCGGCGGCUCGAUAAAGAUAGUGGCUUCACCUACUCCUGGCACCGCCGGGAUAGCAGCGAGGGGCCCCCGGGCAGUGAGGGGGAUGGCGGGGGCCAGGGCAAGCCGAGCAACAGCAGUGGGGGGGCAGACAAGGCCAGCCCCAGCGAGAACAAUGCUGGCGGGGGCAGCCCCUCCAGCGGCUCGGGCGGCAACCCCACCAGCACGUCGGGCAGCACCCGCCGCUGCGCCGGCCCCGGCAACUCCAUGCAGCUGGCCUCGCGCAGCGCCGGGGAGCUCGUGGAGAGCCUGAAACUCAUGAGUCUCUGCCUUGGCUCCCAGCUUCAUGGGAGCACUAAGUACAUUAUUGAUCCACAGAAUGGCUUGUCGUUCUCCAGCGUGAAAGUGCAGGAGAAAUCCACGUGGAAAAUGUGUAUCAGCUCCACAGGGAACGCGGGGCAGGCCCCUGCGGUGGGCAGCAUAAAGUUUUUCUCUCACCACAUGGCGGAUACCACCACUGAAUUGGAACGCAUAAAGAGCAAGAACUUGAAAAAUAACGUGCUACAGCUACCUCUGUGUGAAAAGACCAUCUCUGUGAACAUCCAGCGGAACCCCAAGGAGGGGCUGCUGUGCGCCUCCAGCCAGGCCAGCUGCUGCCACGUCAUCUGACCGCGGCCCGCCCGGCCCCUGGCACGCGCCUGCUCAGAGCGGUGGAGAUCGGCUUGCUCCACCCGUCCCCCUUCGGUUUUACUGUUUUAAAGUGGGCGUUAGGAGCAAUUAUUUAUUACCUUUCCAUUUGUUCGCCUGACGAUGUGACAAUGCAUGGUCUUUGUGCAUGCUGCUAGACACUGCUUUUCUUUCCAGCCGAAAAGCCUAUUGUGUAAUUUUUACGUUUAUACAACAAUGUGGAUGAGAUCAGGAUAAAUUAAGGUGUAUAUUUGGAACCUAAUAUAAAUGGAGCACUUAGAAAUUUGAUAUCCUUGCACUUAACCUAGAGAGAGAAAAAAAUGCUUUUGUUUCCUUGUGAGAAAUCUAAAUUCCUGUCCCGACCUUCUGUGAUACGGAAACUGUGCUCUGAGGCACCUCUGUGGUGUCUGAGACAGAACCAAAGCAAUAACGCCGUGACGCCACAGGCCUGGAGCAAGCUAGCGACCCGCCGGGGCCUGUGCAGAGCAGAGGACAGUGAGUGUCCGCACUGACAACCUUGAAACCAUGGUUUGAACACACCCACACCUGUUUGUCUUAAGCUAUAGUGUGAAACAAGUUUGGGCUCUUAAAAAUUAACUGAAAAAGAUUUUCUUGUUUUUGUAAUAGGUGAGAUAAAGUACUUAGAUUUGUAAGGCAGCUUCCCCUGUAGUGAUAAAUUACAAGCAGACAAUCUCAUUUUUUCCUGUGAUAAAGUGAAUCGAUGAUAAAGU